rnacentral:rRNA from 1 species
CCUACGGGAGGCAGCAGUGGGGAAUAUUGCACAAUGGGGGAAACCCUGAUGCAGCGACGCCACGUGAGUGAAGAAGUAAUUCGUUAUGUAAAGCUCUAUCAGCAGGGAAGAAAAUGACGGUACCUGAGUAAGAAGCCACGGCUAACUACGUGCCAGCAGCCGCGGUAAUACGUAGGGGGCAAGCGUUAUCCGGAUUUACGGGGUGUAAAGGGAGCGUAGACGGCAGUGCAAGUCUGGCGUGAAAGGCGGGGGCUCAACCCCCGGACUGCUCUUGAAACUGGACGGCUGGAGUGCAGGAGAGGUAAGUGGAAUUCCUAGUGUAGCGGUGAAAUGCGUAGAUAUUAGGAGGAACACCAGUGGCGAAGGCGGCUUACUGGACUGUAACUGACGUUGAGGCGCGAAAGCGUGGGUAGCAAACAGGAUUAGAUACCCCUGUAGUC